rnacentral:rRNA from 1 species
GACGAACGCUGGCGGCGUGCCUAAUACAUGCAAGUAGAACGCUGAAGGAGGAGCUUGCUCUUCUGGAUGAGUUGCGAACGGGUGAGUAACGCGUAGGUAACCUGCCUGGUAGCGGGGGAUAACUAUUGGAAACGAUAGCUAAUACCGCAUAACAUUGACUAUUGCAUGAUAGUCAAUUGAAAGGUGCAAAUGCACCACUACCAGAUGGACCUGCGUUGUAUUAGCUAGUUGGUGGGGUAACGGCUCACCAAGGCGACGAUACAUAGCCGACCUGAGAGGGUGAUCGGCCACACUGGGACUGAGACACGGCCCAGACUCCUACGGGAGGCAGCAGUAGGGAAUCUUCGGCAAUGGACGGAAGUCUGACCGAGCAACGCCGCGUGAGUGAAGAAGGUUUUCGGAUCGUAAAGCUCUGUUGUAAGAGAAGAACGAGUGUGAGAGUGGAAAGUUCACACUGU